rnacentral:rRNA from 1 species
UACGAAGGGGGCUAGCGUUGUUCGGAAUUACUGGGCGUAAAGCGCACGUAGGCGGGUUGUUAAGUCAGGGGUGAAAUCCUGGAGCUCAACUCCAGAACUGCCUUUGAUACUGGCAACCUAGAGACUGGAAGAGGUUAGUGGAAUUCCCAGUGUAGAGGUGAAAUGCGUAGAUAUCGAGAGGAACACCUGCGGCGAAGGCGGGUUGCUGGGCUGAUACUGACGCUGAUGCGCGAAAGCCAGGGGAGCGAACGGG